ACUUGACAGAGGCCAAUAUUAAGAGAUUGGGUCUCGCUAUGUUUCCUAGGUUGGACUUGAACUCCUAUGCUGAAGUGAUUGUCCUGCCUCAGCCUGCCUAGUAGUUGGAACUAAGGUGCACACCCCACCACAUCUGGCUAAGUGUACAUAUUUCUAAUGUAUAGUUCAAGUUCUAUGAGCUUUGAAAAAUGUCUUUGGCUGUGCAACCACAGCUCCUGUCAAGAUGUAGAACAUUUCCUUUACUCCAAAAUAUUCCCUUGUUUCUCUUCCCGGUCAAAUCUCACUCCCAUCACUGACCCCAGGUAACCACCAAUCUCCCUUCUAAUACUAUAGAUUAUUUUUAUCUUUUCUAUAAUUUUAUAUAAAUGGAAAUUAUGCAAA
rnacentral:lncRNA from 1 species